rnacentral:rRNA from 1 species
UACGGGGGGGGCAAGCGUUGUUCGGAAUUACUGGGCGUAAAGGGCGCGUAGGCGGUUGGAUAAGUCAGCUGUGAAAACCACGAGCUCAACCUGUGGCCUGCAGUUGAAACUGUCUGGCUAGAGUGUGGGAGAGGGAAGUGGAAUUCCUGGUGUAGCGGUGAAAUGCGUAGAUAUCAGGAGGAACACCGGUGGCGAAGGCGGCUUCCUGGACCACAACUGACGCUGAGGCGCGAAAGCUAGGGGAGCAAACAGG